rnacentral:rRNA from 1 species
GGCGGACGGGUGAGUAAUACUUAGGAAUCUGCCCAAUAGUGGGGGACAACUCGGUGAAAACCGAGCUAAUACCGCAUACGCCCUACGGGGGAAAGCGGGGGAUCUUCGGACCUCGCGCUAUUGGAUGAGCCUAAGUCGGAUUAGCUUGUUGGUGGGGUAAAGGCCUACCAAGGCGACGAUCCGUAGCUGGUCUGAGAGGACGAUCAGCCACACUGGGACUGAGACACGGCCCAGACUCCUACGGGAGGCAGCAGUGGGGAAUAUUGGACAAUGGGCGAAAGCCUGAUCCAGCAAUGCCGCGUGUGUGAAGAAGGCCUGCGGGUUGUAAAGCACUUUC